rnacentral:rRNA from 1 species
AAAAAAUGGUUCGUUUAAAGUACGGAUAUUGGGCGUAAGAGCUCGUAGGCGGUUUGUCGCGUCUGCCGUGAAAGUCCGGGGCUCAACUCCGGAUCUGCGGUGGGUACGGGCAGACUAGAGUGAUGUAGGGGAGACUGGAAUUCCUGGUGUAGCGGUGAAAUGCGCAGAUAUCAGGAGGAACACCGAUGGCGAAGGCAGGUCUCUGGGCAUUAACUGACGCUGAGGAGCGAAAGCAUGGGGAGCGAACAGGAUUAGAUACCCUGGUAGUCCAUGCCGUAAACGUUGGGCACUAGGUGUGGGGGACAUUCCACGUUUUCCGCGCCGUAGCUAACGCAUUAAGUGCCCCGCCUGGGGAGUACGGCCGCAAGGCUAAAACUCAAAGGAAUUGACGGGGGCCCGCACAAGCGGCGGAGCAUGCGGAUUAAUUCGAUGCAACGCGAAGAACCUUACCAAGGCUUGACAUGAACCGGAAACGCCUGGAAACAGGUGCCCCACUUGUGGUCGGUUUACAGGUGGUGCAUGGUUGUCGUCAGCUCGUGUCGUGAGAUGUUGGGUUAAGUCCCGCAACGAGCGCAACCCUCGUUCUAUGUUGCCAGCACGUGAUGGUGGGGACUCAUAGGAGACUGCCGGGGUCAACUCGGAGGAAGGUGGGGACGACGUCAAAUCAUCAUGCCCCUUAUGUCUUGGGCUUCACGCAUGCUACAAUGGCCGGUACAAAGGGUUGCGAUACUGUGAGGUGGAGCUAAUCCCAAAAAGCCGGUCUCAGUUCGGAUUGGGGUCUGCAACUCGACCCCAUGAAGUCGGAGUCGCUAGUAAUCGCAGAUCAGCAACGCUGCGGUGAAUACGUUCCCGGGCCUUGUACACACCGCCCGUCAAGUCACGAAAGUUGGUAACACCCGAGCCGGUGGCCUAACCCUUUUGGGGGGGAGCCGUCGAAGUGGACUGGCGAUUGGGACUAAGUCGUAACAAGGUAGCCA